rnacentral:rRNA from 1 species
GCUGGCGGCAGGCCUAACACAUGCAAGUCGAGCGGUAGAGAGAAGCUUGCUUCUCUUGAGAGCGGCGGACGGGUGAGUAAUGCCUAGGAAUCUGCCUGGUAGUGGGGGAUAACGUUCGGAAACGGACGCUAAUACCGCAUACGUCCUACGGGAGAAAGCAGGGGACCUUCGGGCCUUGCGCUAUCAGAUGAGCCUAGGUCGGAUUAGCUAGUUGGUGAGGUAAUGGCUCACCAAGGCGACGAUCCGUAACUGGUCUGAGAGGAUGAUCAGUCACACUGGAACUGAGACACGGUCCAGACUCCUACGGGAGGCAGCAGUGGGGAAUAUUGGACAAUGGGCGAAAGCCUGAUCCAGCCAUGCCGCGUGUGUGAAGAAGGUCUUCGGAUUGUAAAGCACUUUAAGUUGGGAGGAAGGGUUGUAGAUUAAUACUCUGCAAUUUUGACGUUACCGACAGAAUAAGCACCGGCUAACUCUGUGCCAGCAGCCGCGGUAAUACAGAGGGUGCAAGCGUUAAUCGGAAUUACUGGGCGUAAAGCGCGCGUAGGUGGUUUGUUAAGUUGGAUGUGAAAUCCCCGGGCUCAACCUGGGAACUGCAUUCAAAACUGACUGACUAGAGUAUGGUAGAGGGUGGUGGAAUUUCCUGUGUAGCGGUGAAAUGCGUAGAUAUAGGGAGGAACACCAGUGGCGAAGGCGACCACCUGGACUAAUACUGACACUGAGGUGCGAAAGCGUGGGGAGCAAACAGGAUUAGAUACCCUGGUAGUCC